AGAAACAGGGAGGGAGGGAGGGGGGGGAGAAGGUUUCUUUCUCCCCCCUCCCUCCCUCCGUUUCUUUCUCCCCCCUCCCUGA